rnacentral:rRNA from 1 species
CAGCCGCCGCGGGAAAACGUAUGGUGCGAGCGUUAAUCGGAAUUACUGGGCGUAAAGCGUGCGCAGGCGGUUAUAUAAGACAGAUGUGAAAUCCCCGGGCUCAACCCGGGACCUGCAUUUGUGACUGUAUAGCUAGAGUACGGUAGAGGGGGAUGGAAUUCCGCGUGUAGCAGUGAAAUGCGUAGAUAUGCGGAGGAACACCGAUGGCGAAGGCAAUCCCCUGGACCUGUACUGACGCUCAUGCACGAAAGCGUGGGGAGCAAACAGGAUUAGAUACCCGCGUAGUCCCUGUCUCUUAUAC